ACCUUCUUGUUUAAGCUCUCUACUAAAAUUCCAGAAACUAGUAUCAUGUCUUAGCAUUUGUCAUAAAGCUAUCAGAGAAAACCCAAGAAGAAAAAAGAACUGUACCAAAGAGAAAAAUUGAGUUGAACCUUUUUUUUUAGACGGAGUCUCACUCUGUCACCCAGGCUGGAGUGUAGUGGUGCAAUCUCA
rnacentral:snoRNA from 1 species